UGGGGCUAUAGCUCAGAGUUGGGAGAGCACUUGCAUGGCAUGCAAGAGGUCGGCGGUUCGAUCCCGCUUAGCUCCAU
rnacentral:tRNA from 1 species